GCUCUUUACAAAGAGUUCAAAUGUAAUCUUAAUCCCUCUGGAGGGUUAGGUGGAUGUUGCAGCGACUGCAGUGCUGUUCAUUCCAGCGAGCUAUUGUGCUCUGGGAGUUAAUGCUGGGUUACUAAAUUGCCCAGUAAUCGUUUCAAAAAAGCAUUGCUUUGGGGUGUUGAAAAUGAAUGCACGCUUCCUUCUUCUGGCCCAAUGCUGUGCAGCAUAGCCAUUCAGCCACUAUUAGCACUGGCAAACGGGGGAAUGCUGGAAUUAAAUAUGUAGUACUUUUCCCUCUUUAUAUUGGCAGGCAUCACCAUUAAGAGCCUCAACACUUCACACAAGUGGGCACUAGCCUGGUUUUACAGAGGAGGAACUCAAGGUGCAGACAGGUUAAGUGGCCACACAGGAAGGCCAUGCAGCCAGUAACAGAACCAUAAUACCUGUGUUCAGUUCCCGGGUCUCACCACUAGAGAACAUUCCCCUGAAUUCUGUCCCAUCUCUCAAAUAUCUGUGCUGCCACAUCACUUCUUUGAGUGAAUUUGCUUUUCACUGCAGUCAGACUAACCGCAUUGGCAAGAGCAAGGCAUCAUGCAGGAAGGAAUUGGAAAGCAAUAUCCAAACCACUUUGACCUUAAAGGGGAUAUUAUCUAAUCCUAGGCCUCUUCUGAGCAGAGACUUCAGAUUUGGACUAAAUUAGCAACUUCUUUUGCAUUUGUAGCCGAAACAAAAUCUGAGCCCAGGCCUCCAGAAAUUAUCCGAGCUAGUACACUAAUCCCCCGUGCCACCUAGCCCAGUUUGAAACAAUGCGUGCCCUUGAAAAUGAUUAUAUAAAAACUUUUGCAAUGUUGGCACUUUACUGGGGUUAUAAUAACUGUCACCUGACCCAAUCUGUACCUGCAAAUGUUAUCUCUUGUCAGGCAUUCACCUUUUAACUACCCAUUCAAUGACUGCAGAGGCUAUUUAACCCUUACACGCCAUGUUUUUUAUAUGGAAUUUUGUUAGGUUUCGCAUCUCUUUGCCAAUGCUUAUUCAUGUCUUAAUACCUUUUUUAAAAGAGGGGAGGCAGAAGGGAACUGAAGCCAACACUAUUUUUGCUUCCUAACUUUUGUGGGGUACGGGAAGAGAUCAGUGAGGCGAUUUGAAAAUGUUCUGCAGAUUACCCUAGUAAUUAUGUAAAUGAAUACUUUGAAAUCUGUAUUGCUAUUUGCUGCAAUACGGUAAACAGGGGUUGGCCCUGAAAUACAAUGUGCGUGUGCAUGCACGUAAUAUGUAGUAGAUGAUGCAGAUUUAUAAUCAAACUUACACCUAAUUCUUGUUAUCUUAAAUCAUCUUUGGUCCUAAUAGUAUCAUAAGCAGCAAAUCCCUUGCACUGCUGUCUAAUCAAACUGGACCAGCCACUGUCCCCUAGUUCUGUAUGUGGAAAGAAACUCUGCUGCUUCUGUGACCUUUUCCUUCUACCCCCCUCGGCUUUGCUUCUGGACCCCGCAGAGACCUGUCCAUGCAGACCACCAUCCAUGCUGAUGGAGGGUUGGGUGCUCCAGAGACUGGGCUGGUAGUAUGAGGCUGGGGUGCGGUUUAGGGAAUGAAAACUGUCUGACAGAAAAGAUGAUACACUCUGGGGCUGUAUCUAUCACUUCUGUACUACACCCACCCUCUGCAGCUGUAGCUAGGAAGCUGGGUAUGGAGGACUGUUGUCCUAGGUUUGGGGGUGGGCCCUGUGACCUUUUCUGUUAUGGGGGGACAAACCCCACCCUCCUUACAAUGAUUAAUGUGGUACUGGUGGUGAGGGAUCCUCAUGGAGACUUCCUUCAUCCAAUCUCAUGGGAGAUGUGGUUCAAUAUUUUCUGCCUCUCCUGGCUUUCACAGUGCCCAGCACUCAGUCCUGGCAUUCAACACACACAUUUUAAUUGCUUGUUUCAGCUGUUUAUUAUGAAGAUCCAUUGAAAUGGGGGACAGUAUAACAGUGGAAAAGGAGAGGUUCUGAAGAGAGAUGUCCUUUGAUAAUGCAAACUGAUACAGCAGCUAUAAUUUAUGCACACUAUGUGAGGCACCAAAAAUAAAAUCAAUUGGGAAUUCUCGUGAACAAGACGGAGGGGGUAGUUGUCUAUGUGUUUGAGAGAGAAUACCCUGGAUAUGGAAUUUGUCUUCAUGCAGUGGGAGCUGAUGUCACAACGUUAGCAUAUUACCUAGCUUUUAGGAUUUGUACUUAGUAUACACUAUUGGCUUUUCAAGCUGUAUGUUGAUCUGAAUAUUUUCAAUGGAAUUGUUUCCUAUAGUAACUAUUCUGCAUUUUGUGGCUACUUCUGAGGUGUGUGUCUUACUUUUCACAUUUAAAUAUAAAAGGUAACAAACAACUGUUCGUAAAACCAAGCACAAGUGGGUCAGCCAGGCUGUCUUGGUAACAGUCUCUCCCCUAACAAAUAGAGGAAUUAUGUCAAAAACGAACAUGUGAUAGGUGGUAUUUAUACAGAAUCUCUGGAUGCAAUUAUGCAAUCAUGCAAGCAACCAAACAUAGCCAGGUUUCCUUGCUUCAUCUGGGAUGCCACCCAAAUUUGUCAGCUGUACUUCAGCAUUAGCCGUUUCCCCGGCUCCCUGUCUCCUGCUGAUCCUUGUAUUCUUGGGUGAUGCUGUACUAAUCUAUGGAGCUCCUCUCUGUUGGCCAUCUGCAUUACUCCAUCAACGCUUUCCCCUACAGAUUCUCUCCUUUCUGCCUCUCCUAAUUUUGUGGACCUUCUGAAGCUCCACCAAACCACACUGACCUUCAGCAAACUAAGGAUGAUGAACCAGACACCAGAUACAAUGAUGCUGAAGAGACAAGACAGCUUAAAAAAUGAACAAGUGACUUUGCCCUGGGCUUCAAUGCAGUUGUGGCACGGAGCUUAAUAUCAGCAGUAAUAUUUUGGAGGCAGUCUUGUUUGCACACCUGCCUCUUAAAUUCUAAGGAUCGUAUUGUACUACAGGGUUUUGGUUUGGUUUGUUUAAGCAGAUUUCCCCUCUGAAAUCGGCAUGGAAUUAUGACUUUUAAUCAAUUUUGGCUUCUUAAAAGGGAGUUCGGUCCAUGUUUCUGAUUAGACAUGAAAAUGUUGCUUUUCUUGUGUCUAAAGCGGUGUUUGUAGUUGGAGAGUUACUGAGCUCUUUAUUACAGUAUUAAAGGCAGCACUCGUGUUUUCAUGACACUGUCUUGUGUAUCUCUUUUGCUUUAAUGCUUUUCCUGAGACAAACAUAACUGGGUAUACAGAAUGAAAUGUUGAGAACCUGCUGCUCCCAUGGCAGGCAAUGGGAGUUACAGAUGCUCAGUAGCUCUCAGGGUCUAACCUUGAGAUAGCAAAGGAUGGUUCCUCUGAAUCAAGUUCUUGCUGAAGUCCAUGGGAGUUGGAUUGAGUCACAGGAAAGGGUUCCCAUCUUUUAAAUUCACUGUUUGUCUCAAGGGGGUUUUUUUUUCUUUAAAAAGUAAAAUGAAAGUUUUGGUAUCCCAGAACAAUUGAAAACAAUGGUGUUUUCAAAAUGCCGUAAUAUCUUGUUAAACUUGUAGUGCAUCCCUGAGGUAAAAUAACCUUUCAAACAAUCCCUUUAGUUGAUUAUCUGCACUGAUUGUUACCAUCUUGCAACAACUGUCC